AGUGAACGCUGGCGGUAGGCCUAACACAUGCAAGUCGAACGGCAGCACAGUAAGAGCUUGCUCUUACGGGUGGCGAGUGGCGGACGGGUGAGGAAUACAUCGGAAUCUACUUUUUCGUGGGGGAUAACGUAGGGAAACUUACGCUAAUACCGCAUACGACCUACGGGUGAAAGCAGGGGAUCUUCGGACCUUGCGCGAUUGAAUGAGCCGAUGUCGGAUUAGCUAGUUGGCGGGGUAAAGGCCCACCAAGGCGACGAUCCGUAGCUGGUCUGAGUGGAUGAUCAGCCACACUGGAACUGAGACACGGUCCAGACUCCUACGGGAGGCAGCAGUGGGGAAUAUUGGACAAUGGGCGCAAGCCUGAUCCAGCCAUACCGCGUGGGUGAAGAAGGCCUUCGGGUUGUAAAGCCCUUUUGUUGGGAAAGAAAAGCAGCAGGUUAAUACCCCGCUGCUCUGACGGUACCCAAAGAAUAAGCACCGGCUAACUUCGUG
rnacentral:rRNA from 1 species